rnacentral:rRNA from 1 species
UACGAAGGGGACUAGCGUUGUUCGGAAUCACUGGGCGUAAAGCGCACGUAGGCGGAUUCGUAAGUUAGGGGUGAAAUCCCGGGGCUCAACCUCGGAACUGCCUUUGAUACUGCGGGUCUCGAGUCCGAUAGAGGUGGGUGGAAUUCCUAGUGUAGAGGUGAAAUUCGUAGAUAUUAGGAAGAACACCGGUGGCGAAGGCGGCCCCACUGGAUCGGCACUGACGCUGAGGUGCGAAAGCGUGGGGGAGCAAACAGG